UACGUAGGGGGCAAGCGUUAUCCGGAAUCACUGGGCGUAAAGGGUGCGUAGGCGGCCCAACAAGUCAGGGGUGAAAGGCUACGGCUUAAACCGUAGUAAGCCUUUGAAACUGUUAGGCUUGAGUGCAGGAGAGGUAAGUGGAAUACCUAGUGUAGCGGUGAAAUGCGUAGAUAUUAGGAGGAACACCAGUGGCGAAGGCGACUUACUGGACUGUAACUGACGCUGAGGCACGAAAGCGUGGGGAGCAAACAGG
rnacentral:rRNA from 1 species